GAUCCUGGCUCAGGAUGAACGCUGGCGGCGUGCUUAACACAUGCAAGUCGAACGAAGCACUUUAUUUGAUUUCCUUCGGGACUGAUUAUUUUGUGACUGAGUGGCGGACGGGUGAGUAACGCGUGGGUAACCUGCCUUGUACGAGGGGGAUAACAGUUGGAAACGGCUGCUAAUACCGCAUAAGCGCACGGCAUCGCAUGAUGCAGUGUGAAAAACUCCGGUGGUAUAAGAUGGACCCGCGG
rnacentral:rRNA from 1 species